UGAGAACUAAGAGCUCUCUGACUUGUUUAUAAAAUGCAGAAGCAUGUUUGUUAUUUUUUUCUGGCAAGUUUGUUUAAGAGAAUGGUUGAGAUUCAGUACAACAGAGAGAAUGAGAUUUGAGAAAACUCCUUUUGUUCACCUUAUUGUUUAGAUUUUUUUUUCAAGUGAAUAAGUCAGGUAGAAUAGGAGCAGUUGUUCUCUCAUUUGUCUUGCAUUGGCUAACCUGGCAUGUUAAAAUCCUACAUCAGCAACUGAAGGGAUAACCUUGGCAGAAGGUGUUAGACAACUGUGAAUUGAUCAGGCUAAUCCCAUGCAGGGUGAAGACGAUUGCAGCCUAGUGUUGUCCUUUCAAAAUCCACAGGUUUUGCCUACUGUCUGCUGUGAAAAGCUUGCUGUAAUUUGGUGGCAAACAUGCAGGAAGAGGGCUUCAAAGAGGUUUCUAACUGAACAGAAUGAAAGAAGAAAUCUCAGGAAAAAAGAAAGAUUUCUCCUCCUCCACCUUCUUGCACCCUUCCACUGAUUGCUGUUUAUGAUACAGCUUCACCUAUUCACCUAGACCUUCAGC